rnacentral:rRNA from 1 species
AUUGAACGCUGGCGGCAUGCCUUACACAUGCAAGUCGAACGGCAGCACGGGAGCAAUCCUGGUGGCGAGUGGCGAACGGGUGAGUAAUAUAUCGGAACGUGCCCAGUCGUGGGGGAUAACGCAGCGAAAGUUGUGCUAAUACCGCAUACGAUCUAUGGAUGAAAGCGGGGGAUCGCAAGACCUCGCGCGAUUGGAGCGGCCGAUAUCAGAUUAGGUUGUUGGUGAGGUAAAAGCUCACCAAGCCUGCGAUCUGUAGCUGGUCUGAGAGGACGACCAGCCACACUGGAACUGAGACACGGUCCAGACUCCUACGGGAGGCAGCAGUGGGGAAUUUUGGACAAUGGACGAAAGUCUGAUCCAGCAAUGCCGCGUGCAGGACGAAGGCCUUCGGGUUGUAAACUGCUUUGUAUAGAACGAAAAGUCUUUAAUAACACUAGAGGCUCAUGACGGUACUGUAAGAAUAAGCACCGGCUAACUACCG